rnacentral:rRNA from 1 species
AUUGAACGCUGGCGGCAUGCCAUACACAUGCAAGUCGAACGGUAACAGGUCUUCGGAUGCUGACGAGUGGCGAACGGGUGAGUAAUACAUCGGAACGUGCCUAGUAGUGGGGGAUAACUACUCGAAAGAGUGGCUAAUACCGCAUGAGAUCUACGGAUGAAAGCAGGGGAUCGCAAGACCUUGAGCUACUAGAGCGGCCGAUGGCAGAUUAGGUAGUUGGUGGGAUAAAAGCUUACCAAGCCGACGAUCUGUAGCUGGUCUGAGAGGACGAUCAGCCACACUGGGACUGAGACACGGCCCAGACUCCUACGGGAGGCAGCAGUGGGGAAUUUUGGACAAUGGGCGCAAGCCUGAUCCAGCAAUGCCGCGUGCAGGAUGAAGGCCUUCGGGUUGUAAACUGCUUUUGUACGGAACGAAAAGCCCUGGGUUAAUACCCUGGGGUCAUGACGGUACCGUAAGAAUAAGCACCGGCUAACUACGUGCCAGCCGCCGCUGUAACAC